UGGAGGGCUACAGUCUGUGGGGUUGCAAAGAGUCAGACAUGACUGAGUGUGCACACACAUUAGUUCAAAAAUCCUGAGUCACUGACAUUUGGGGGAAACACUGGACUCUGAGUGACUUAGAUGAAGUUUCCACAUCCACUUCUGUGUGACCACGUGAACCAGAGAACUGGUCAGGUUGGGGAUGACAGGAGAACUUUAUUUCUGCUCCAUAUCCUUCUAGGACAGAAGCCUGUGGAUUCUAGGGGAUUCUCCCAUCAGAAAUGACACAGAGGAGGCAUUCCAUCAUGAAUGACACCUGACAAUCCUCUGGACUGAGCUGGUGCUGCAGCAAGUGUGGGUGCUGGUCACUGAGGCCCUAACGUGGCCACCUGGAAUGUUCCUCCAUGUCUGGAGCAGUCAGUAGCUGAGGGGAAGACAUUUGUAGGCCUUCCCACCAUCCGAGGCCCAGCCGUAGCAGCCCAGGUUCCCAGCAGCUGCCCUCGAUCGCCCGGCCUGCGCCGGCUCUGCCGCCAUGGGGACCGCUCAGGUUUUGCCUGGCAUCCUGCAGAAGCAUUGCUGUAUCUUACCAGACAGGAACACAGGUCGCUUAUAUUAGAGACAAUUUUCUUCAUUUGUCACUGCAUUCAUCUCCAUAUCUGGAAACUGAAAAAAUUCACAAUGGCGGAACACCACAAGUUAUGUUACUGUUUACAUAUUAAUUUUGUCAUUUUCAAUCAAAAAUGUUGAAAAGCGAAAUUAAACUUAAUAAAAUAAAUUGAAA
rnacentral:lncRNA from 1 species